rnacentral:tRNA from 1 species
GCACCAAUGGUUCAGUGGUAGAUUAAUACUCUACCACUAUCUAACCCGGGUUCGAUCCCAGACGGUGUA